rnacentral:rRNA from 1 species
UACGUAAGGUCCGAGCGUUGUCCGGAAUCAUUGGGCGUAAAGGGUACGUAGGCGGUUAAUCAAGUUAGAAGUGAAAUCCGAUAGCUCAACUAUAGUAAGCUUUUAAAACUGCUCAUCUUGAGGUAUGGAAGGGAAAGUGGAAUUCCUAGUGUAGCGGUGAAAUGCGUAGAUAUUAGGCGGAACACCGGUUGCGUAGGCGACUUUCUGGGCAUAAACUGACGCUGAGGUACGAAAGUGUGGGUAGCAAACAGG